NNNNNNUAGAAAGCGCCAGAACUGGCCUAAAGCAAAGCAACACUAUGUAUGCACUACUCAUGCGAUAGGGCCAGUUGACGAGGAAGAGGUUAAUCGAGAAGUCUUUGGGACAGUCCUGAAGCAUUCGGCGGGUGCCUCUCGGCAGGCCAUAGUCGUUAUGGAAUCCACAAAACCGGCGGGCGACCUCCGGGACAAAUGGAUGCCAGCGUGGCGG
rnacentral:ncRNA from 2 species